GGACCUAUAGCUCAGUUGGCUAGAGCGCCACGUUGACAUCGUGGAGGUCACAGGUUCGAGUCCUGUUAGGUCCA
rnacentral:tRNA from 1 species